UUUUUUCGAAACCGUUAGUUAUCAUGAUCCGUAAAGACUAUCGGGCACUCGUUGCUGAGCGUUAGUGGUUUUUCUCACGUUUUUGUGUAUUUAAUUCGAGAUUUUAAUAAUGAAUAUUGUUACGUGCAUUGCGCCUGUUAAUAUCGCUGUCAUCAAAUACUGGGGAAAGCGCGAUGACGAGCUCAUUCUUCCUGUCAAUGACUCCAUCAGUGCGUCAUUGGACACUCAUGAGUUAUGUGCAAAGACCUCCGUAAUGGCGAGCCCGGACUUCGAUGCAGAUCGAAUUUGGCUCAAUGGAAGGGAGGAGUCAAUCAAUAAUCCCCGACUGCAGAAUUGUUUACGAGAAAUUAGAAAACGCUCUCAACUAUCGCCUGAGACCGAGAACUGGAAGCUCCACAUAUGUUCGAAGAAUAAUUUUCCAACAGCAGCGGGUCUGGCAUCGAGUGCUGCUGGUUAUGCAUGCUUAAGUGCUGCACUUGCCAAAUUGUACAAAGUUGAAGGAGACAUUAGUACAAUUGCUCGGUCUGGAUCCGGGUCGGCAUGCAGGAGUGUGUACGGUGGUUUUGUACGUUGGUAUGCAGGCAUUGACCCCAACGGAAGUGACAGCAUCGCCAAGCAAAUUGCCCCUCCGUCUCAUUGGCUGGAAAUGAGAAUUUUGAUUCUAGUUGUGAACGAUGAAAGAAAAAAAACAUCGAGUGCUAUCGGCAUGAAAAACGCUGUUUUGACAUCAGAACUUCUCAAAUAUCGAGCUGAGCACUGUGUUCCUAAACGAGUAGAAGAAAUGCAGCGAGCAAUAUUGAGUAAAAACUUUGAAAAAUUUGCGGAGUUGAUGAUAAAGGACUCCAACCAGAUGCACGCCAUUUGUCUAGACACAUCUCCCCCCUGUUUCUACCUCAACAACGUUUCGUUCAGUGUAAUUGACCUCAUCCAUGCUUACAAUGAGGCAUCUAACAGUAUGAAGGUGGGAUAUACAAACGAUGCCGGCCCGAACACUGUUCUCUAUUUACCAGAAAAGAACGUUCCCGAAGUAUUAGGACUAUUGGAUUAUUAUUUUCCAACGGAAUCUACGAAAAAUAGCGAGUAUAAAAGGGGAAAUCCACCGCAAAGUCUUCCUCCCUCGAACGAACUCAUUUUGAAAAUUAAUAGAGAGAAAAGUCAGCCAGGUCAAUUAAAAUACAUAAUUUAUACUCGCGUAGGUGACGGUCCGACUUACCUCGAAAAUCCUCGUGAGCAUCUCCUUGACUCCAAAGGUUUUCCCGUUGGAUUGUAAUGAUUCUGAGCACUUAUUGACAUUAGAAUAAAGGCUACCCCUCCUAGAUCUCCAGAUAUUCACGGAGAAUGGGCCAGUGGUAAAAGUCAACGUGAACCUGACUCGACAACAACAAAAGAAAUUCAUCAUUUUACUUACAAAAUGGUAGAAUUUCCUGACACCCUCGGUACUCUGGUGAUCCCCUGGAACAUGCAUCGUACAGCAGUUUGAUAACACCAGCAUUUUCUGGGACAGUCUUUGGAGAUGUUAUCGGGUCUUCCCUGAGGCGAAGACAAUGCAGGAACCAAAGCCGCCAACAGGAGUAAUCCUCUGGAGAUUCUCAUGUUCGAUUAAUUGCCCUCUGUCUAAUCCAUUAACACCACGACUCCUGACAUUCGCUUUUUUAUCUUGUUCUGAACCCCACAAAAGGUCAUACAGUUUAGUCUAAAAUAUUUGAUGAUCUCAGCGAGCCGAGUUCAAGCGGAGCGCGGGUGUACGAGUUAACUGGCCAGGGGUACCUUCAGCGACUGAGCCAAUGGGUUCUCAGUGGACUGGUAUGAGUGCGUGCAGCUUCAACAAGUGAGACAAAAUCAAAUAAAAGGAGACGACCAGCAUUGGAAGCGGGAGUGGUGCUCAGAGAAUGAGAGCCGAUGAAGAACUCAUGGUCUCGUGCUACGGUCAUGAGUGAGAUGAAAGUAUGUCAUGCUAUAGUGAAUCAAGAUGAAGGACUGUGUUUGCUGAACUAUUUGAAUCCUGAUAAACAACAAAAAGGGGUCGUUCCAGCUGGUUCCAGGCAUUGAACACGGUUGAUCAGAGGAGGGCGGCGGGGACGCGACGUCCACCUCCAUCCCGGAUUCGUCGUUAAACAUAUUUGUGUACAGUCUCGACCACCCAAAGGGAUUCCUUCUCGGCUUCGCAAAAGUCCAAUGCUCCAAAAAUAACCAAUGAGUCAAUGCCUCUGACCUCUCCUUCUCUCAUCUGUAUCAUUGAUUAAUUUUUUUUUUCUUCGUUUCAAUUUAAUUAGUAAUCUUCGUCAAUAAAUUUAUCAUUUAUUUAUGAAGACUAUAUAGUAGUAGACGAGGGUCUGAGAUGUGGGGAAUAAAGAUGCAGAUAUUUCCUUUUAUCAAUAGCUUCAGUCUUACGCCAUCGAGUCACAAGAUUAAGAGUUAAGAGGAAAAAAAUAAAACCAACAAGAGUCUAUCGAAAAUGAAAGCAAAUGAAAUUGUUCAGAUCUUUGUGUGGGGAAUCAAUGAGGUCCUCUAUCCCUGUAGAGUAUAAUCGUCGAGAUAUAUUCCUGUAAUCGAGUGAUAGUGGGUAAGACAAGCUUCCGUAGUAUAUUACAGUAAUUAUGGUAUGAAUAAUUUGCUGAAUGGUCAAUAGACAAAGAAAGCAUUUUCUAUGUGUCCCAUAGUAAAACAAAUUACGUAACAAUGAUUAGAAGUGAAGAAAAUGCCCAUUGAUAAGGAUUGAAUCUCGUCAUAUCAAAAUAAAUAUAGGGCACUGCAUGUUAAACUCGUCAAUAACGAGGUCUCGAUUCACUGGUUCCAAUCCCUAGGACAAUCUUUAUCGAUAAACAACAAAUAUAAAAAAACGUGUAAAACGUAAUUUUACUGACACCAAAUAUUCAACUUAUAAGUUUGGUCAUUGAAAAUGACAGAAUCUACACUCUGGUCUGCACUAAACUAUAAAAUAUACUGACAUUUCCGUUGGAGCGCAUUCUGAUUAUUAAAAAAAAAAUGAAAAUUGUUGAGAAAUUAGAACGCGUGUCCAGCAUCUCCGGCUGCAGCCUUUACGAAAUCUAUAUUAGAUAGGCGAACACUAUUUCGAGAUAAAAAUGUUAAAUGUUGUUGAACCCCGCACGAUGUUCUAUCGCAAUAUUUUUUUAUUCGACUCCCGGCAAUGUCUGGUUCAUCGUACGAAUCUGACAUACCUAAAUAGCCCUGAGUAACGAUAAAUAUUGCAAUAAAUUUUGGCAUCGGUUCGUGCUUGUUUUGGGAGCUUCACAUUCCUUGAAAGUGAAAUGUGUGCGUUACUGCUCCAAUUUCCCAAAAGUCGUUAACCUCGAGCUUUGGACAAUACCAAAGGGCGAAAUAAACUCCAAAUGAUUUAUUUGUUUACUGAGGGUACGGGUGGAACCGAGCCGAGGCUCCGGCUAUUGAAGUCAACGAUUAAUCUCUCAAAUAUAAACUUUAUUCAAGUAACCAAGGCGUUCUUGCAUUAGUCCAGAUACAUUCAUCUAUUGCAUCUACUCUCUCAGCCAAACGAUCGAUUACAAGUCAUAGUGAUAGCUUUUUCGUUAUAUUCUCGCUCAAUUAAAGGGGUAACUUUCUGUUACUAUAAUAACAGGUGUAGAAAAUAACAAAAUAAGUCAAUUAUUAAAUUACCAUAUUUCUUUACAAUUAAUGAAUAACUUAAUUCUACCUGCGAGUCGCGCUUGUUCAAUAAUUCACAAAUACUUAUGCCUAAGUAUAAUACAUAUAUAUCGAAAAAAAAUGAUGCAGAAAUAAAUGUUACACAAUGGAAAAAUUAAUCAAGAUAAA